CGCGUUGUGCGAUGAAGGCCUUCGGGUUGUAAAGCACUUUUGGCAGGAAAGAAACGUCCCGGGCUAAUACCCUGGGAAACUGACGGUACCUGCAGAAUAAGCACCGGCUAACUACGUGCCAGCAGCCGCGGUAAUACGUAGGGUGCAAGCGUUAAUCGGAAUUACUGGGCGUAAAGCGUGCGCAGGCGGUUCGGAAAGAAAGAUGUGAAAUCCCAGAGCUUAACUUUGGAACUGCAUUUUUAACUACCGAGCUAGAGUGUGUCAGAGGGAGGUGGAAUUCCGCGUGUAGCAGUGAAAUGCGUAGAUAUGCGGAGGAACACCGAUGGCGAAGGCAGCCUCCUGGGAUAACACUGACGCUCAUGCACGAAAGCGUGGGGAGCAAACAGGAUUAGAUACCCUGGUAGUCCACGCCCUAAACGAUGUCAACUAGCUGUUGGGGCCUUCGGGCCUUGGUAGCGCAGCUAACGCGUGAAGUUGACCGCCUGGGGAGUACGGUCGCAAGAUUAAAACUCAAAGGAAUUGACGGGGACCCGCACAAGCGGUGGAUGAUGUGGAUUAAUUCGAUGCAACGCGAAAAACCUUACCUACCCUUGACAUGUCUGGAAUGCCGAAGAGAUUUGGCAGUGCUCGCAAGAGAACCUGAACACAGAUUGAC
rnacentral:rRNA from 1 species